GAUGAACGCUGGCGGCGUGCCUAAUACAUGCAAGUCGAGCGAACGGACGAGAAGCUUGCUUCUCUGAUGUUAGCGGCGGACGGGUGAGUAACACGUGGAUAACCUACCUAUAAGACUGGGAUAACUUCGGGAAACCGGAGCUAAUACCGGAUAAUAUUUUGAACCGCAUGGUUCAAAAGUGAAAGACGGUCUUGCUGUCACUUAUAGAUGGAUCCGCGCUGCAUUAGCUAGUUGGUAAGGUAACGGCUUACCAAGGCAACGAUGCAUAGCCGACCUGAGAGGGUGAUAGGCCACCUGGGAACGUGGACACCGUCCAGACGCCUAAGGGAGGCAGCAGUAGGGAACCGUCCGCAAUAGGCGAAAGCCUGACGGAGCAACGCCGCGUGAGUGAUGAAGGUCUUCGGAUCGUAAAACUCUGUUAUUAGGGAAGAACAUAUGUGUAAGUAACUGUGCACAGCGUGACGGUACCUAAUCAGAAAGCCACGGCUAACUACGUG
rnacentral:rRNA from 1 species